AACGUCCUGUUCGGAGACGAACAGGGAGUGGCGCACGGGUGAGUAACGCGUGGGUAACCUACCCCCGAGUGCGGAAUACCAGUGGGAAACGACUGACAAGACCGCAUAGCUUUGCGCUUUGAGGGCAAAGAAAGCCCCCCUUUUGGGGGGCGCUCGAGGAGGGGCCUGCGUCCGAUUAGGCUAGUGGGUGGGGUAAGAGCCUACCCAGGCAGCGAUCGGUAGCUGGUCUGAGAGGAUGAUCAGCCACACUGGGAUUGAGAACGGCCCAGACUCCUACGGGGGGCAGCAGUGAGGAAUUUUCGGCAAUGGGGGAAACCCUGACCGAGCAACGCCGCGUGCAGGAAGAAGGUUUUCGGAUCGUAAACUGCUUUGAUUGGGGAAGAGAAUGGGACGGUACCCAAAGAACAAGCCCCGGCUAACUACGUGCCAGCAGCCGCGGUAAUACGUAGGGGGCGAGCGUUGUCCGGAGUUACUGGGCGUAAAGGGCGUGCAGGCGGUGGCACAAGUUUGGGGUGACAAUUGCCGGCUUAACUGGCAGAGGACUGCAAAAACUGUGCGACUUGAGGACUGGAGAGGGAGCCGGAAUUCCGCGUGGAGCGGUGAAAUGCGUAGAGAUGCGGAGGAACACCGAAGGCGAAGGCAGGCUCCUGGCCAGCUCCUGACGCUGAGGCGCGAAAGCUAGGGGAGCGAACGGGAUUAGAUACCCCGGUAGUCCUAGCUGUAAACGAUGACCACCA
rnacentral:rRNA from 1 species